UCUGAUGGUCAGUAGCUGGAAAGAUUUUUUGGUCAGGGAUGAGCUCGCGGCCUAUCAGCUUGUUGGUGAGGUAAUGGCUCACCAAGGCGUCGACGGGUAGCCGGCCUGAGAGGGUGACCGGCCACACUGGGACUGAGACACGGCCCAGACUCCUACGGGAGGCAGCAGUGGGGAAUAUUGCACAAUGGGCGCAAGCCUGAUGCAGCAACGCCGCGUGAGGGAUGACGGCCUUCGGGUUGUAAACCUCUUUUAGCAGGGAAGAAGCGAAAGUGACGGUACCUGCAGAAAAAGCGCCGGCUAACUACGUGCCAGCAGCCGCGGUAAUACGUAGGGCGCAWGCNUUAUCCGGAAUUAUUGGGCGUAAAGAGCUCGUAGGCGGUUUGUCGCGUCUGCUGUGAAAUCCCGAGGCUCAACCUCGGGUCUGCAGUGGGUACGGGCAGACUAGAGUGCGGUAGGGGAGAUUGGAAUUCCUGGUGUAGCGGUGGAAUGCGCAGAUAUCAGGAGGAACACCGAUGGCGAAGGCAGAUCUCUGGGCCGUAACUGACGCUGAGGAGCGAAAGGGUGGGGAGCAAACAGGCUUAGAUACCCUGGUAGUCCACCCCGUAAACGUUGGGAACUAGUUGUGGGGUCCAUUCCACGGAUUCCGUGACGCAGCUAACGGCAUUAAGUUCCCGCCUGGGGAGUACGGCCGCAAGGGCUAAACUCAAGGAAUUGACGGGGAACCGCACAAGCGGCGGAAGCAUGCGAUUAAU
rnacentral:rRNA from 1 species